AUAAAAUGUUACCAGUGGAGUGUCAUCGCCCAAAUUGCACAGCGGGGGUUCAUAAUUGGCAAUGUCACCAUCAUCACUAAGCUGAUAAUUAACCAUAACAAAUAGUUUCUCGCAAAACAAAAAGAUCUAAAAAUAAAUAAACAUUGCUAGUAUUUGUAAAUUACAUUUAUUCCAUGAAGUGUUGUGAAUCGAUUGAUAAUUUCUUCAUCACCAGUCAAUUUUUUUACUGUAUAGCCGCGCCAAUUACGAUAUAGAUUGGCGUUCGUCACUUCAAUCUUAAAAAGCAUACGCUUGUUAACAAACACAUCAAGUUCGGGGGGG
rnacentral:lncRNA from 1 species